rnacentral:rRNA from 1 species
AUACGUAGGUGGCGAGCGUUGUCCGGAAUUACUGGGUGUAAAGGGCGUGUAGGCGGGGGAGCAAGUCAGAUGUGAAAGCCCAAGGCUCAACUUUGGGAUUGCAUCUGAAACUGUUUCUCUUGAGUACUGGAGAGGGAAGCGGAAUUCCUAGUGUAGCGGUGAAAUGCGUAGAGAUUAGGAGGAACACCAGUGGCGAAGGCGGCUUCCUGGACAGAGACUGACGCUGAGGCGCGAAAGCGUGGGGAGCGAACAGGAUUAGAUACCCUGGUAGUCCACGCCGUAAACGAUGGAUACUAGGUGUAGGAGGUAUCGACUCCUUCUGUGCCGGAGUUAACACAAUAAGUAUCCCACCUGGGGAGUACGGCCGCAAGGUUGAA